rnacentral:rRNA from 1 species
CAGCCGCCGCGGUAAUACCGAGGGUGCGAGCGUUAAUCGGAUUUACUGGGCGUAAAGCGUGCGUAGGCGGCUUCUUAAGUCGGAUGUGAAAUCCCUGAGCUUAACUUAGGAAUUGCAUUCGAUACUGGGAAGCUAGAGUAUGGGAGAGGAUGGUAGAAUUCCAGGUGUAGCGGUGAAAUGCGUAGAGAUCUGGAGGAAUACCGAUGGCGAAGGCAGCCAUCUGGCCUAAUACUGACGCUGAGGUACGAAAGCAUGGGGAGCAAACAGGAUUAGAGACCCGAGUAGUCCCUGUCUCUUAUAC